AGCCUUCUCUCAAUACGGCGAGAUCGUUGAUUCCAAGGUCCGUUUGUUGCUUGCAGGCUUCGGAUCGGAUCUGACACGAUUUUGAUUCGGAUUUCUAUGGAAACCUUUCUGAUCUGUGAUCUCCGAUCUGUUCUGUGUUACUUGUUACUCUGUUACUUGAUCUAUUUGUUACUGUUACUGUUACUGUAUGAUUUGAUUCUUUUAUUACUCACUCACACCAAUAGGUACGUUCAUCUUCUUCUUUGAACAAAAGUUGAAGAUCGAUCGGUUACUAUUCGGUUCUAGAUCUAUGGAUCUGUUUUUUUAUUUGAGAUUUAGGGUUUAGAUCUGAUUUUGUUUGUGUUUUGUGCAGAUCAUUAACGAUCGUGAAACUGGACGAUCAAGAGGUUUUGGAUUUGUGACAUUCGCUAACGAGAAAUCCAUGAACGAUGCCAUUGAAGCAAUGAACGGUCAGGAUUUGGACGGACGUAACAUCACUGUGAACCAAGCUCAGAGCCGUGGUAGCGGUGGAGGUGGAGGAGGAGGCCGUGGUGGCGGUGGUUAUGGAGGUGGUGGCGGUGGAUAUGGUGGAGAACGUCGUGGUUACGGUGGAGGUGGUGGAUACGGAGGAGGAGGUGGUGGUGGAUAUGGAGAACGCCGUGGUGGAGGCGGUGGCUACAGCAGAGGAGGUGGUGGUGGAGGAUAUGGUGGUGGUGGAUACAGCAGAGGUGGAGGUGAUGGUGGUUAUUAGGUUUUAGAUUUGUCGUUUAUGAUUAUUAUACUAGAUGUUGGGAUCUAGCUCUGAAAUUCUGUUUUUGUCACUGUUCUGUUAUGGCUUCGUUUUGAUGUGUCUUUUAUUGGUGUAUCUCUGAAUUUGAUUGUGUAUAACGAUCAAUUUAAAGAAGAAAAAAAAAACUGAGAUAUUAGUUGCACCAUAUUUUCUGUGUUUUAUUAUUCGUUUUUUUUUUUUUCUUCUCAUUUUUGCCUGCCGAAUAUUUAAAAAUAAUUUUAUCUAUAAUCAAAUCCAAUCUAUUAUGAAAAACACUUUCCCAAGAUAAUCGAUAAAUAUGAACAAUGAGUUGUGACCUAUAAUUAUAAUGAUCUUUUAAUUUUUUUAAUUUGGGUAAUGAAGUCAUCUGUUCAUUUUAAAAAGUUUAGAAAAAGAUGUGGUUUCAUGAUUUCCAAUUUUUUAGUUUUUUCCUCACCUGAUUACUUAGAUUUUGCGUUACACGAUUUGAUUUUUUGUUUAGACUAAACGGCCAUUCAUUGCAAUUGUACAUAUACAGCUUGUACUUAUACGAUUGAUAUUAGAACUUCCAAAUUCUGAUUUCUGCCACCAUAUAUUUAAAAUGGUUUAAUUGCACUUUUGAACUGUUGUGAUUUCAGACCUUAUCAUCCAUUAUCUGUCCGUCUUGUAGGCUUUUUAUUUAAUAUAUCUUGUCAAAGUAUUAAAAUUUUGUUAUGGGUACAAUGAAUUUUAAGAAAUUUUCAAUCUGAAACUGAUUUUAAUAUGAAGUUUUGUGACCAUGGAUACAAUAAUUAUGUUGGUAAGACAAUCAAAAUCCCUGCUAUGCUAACCUUUGUUAUGGUUGUUUCCAACAUUUUCAAUAUGAGAGGAAUAGGGUGAAAGAGGCAUAAUAGAUCCGUUUAAGAGGGAAAAAAAAUGCUUAAUAUAUGCUUUGGUCCCUUAAAUUAUUUUUGGUUUUCAUUUUGAUCCCCUAACUAUAAAACGUCUCAAUUUGGUCCCAUAAGUCUUCAUCCGUUUCUUAAUGUGGUCCUCUGCAAUUUUUUGAUGUGAUUUUAACCAUUUGAUUGCAUGUACAUUGUAUCUAAUAGUUAACCGUGAGCACCUAAUUUUUUUUCAUUUCUUUUCAAAAACCUAAAUCCUUUCUCUGUAAUUGAAACUAAAAUUCACAAAAAAUCACAACCUUAGAUUUACAACAUCACAAAAAAUCACUAAUCAAAAUAACUCAAAAAUGAAAUCUGAUUUCCAACAACAGUCACCACAAGAGAAGAAAAAAGAAUUCAUCCUAAUUUCUUUAUUCUCUUUAAACCCCCCAUUUUUGGUUCUGAAUCAAUCAAGCAAUAACCAUUUCUUCUUCUUCUAACGAAUUUGAUUCAAAAUCCAGAAAUUCGAUGAUCUAGAACCCAUAAAUUCCAUGAUUCAAAAACAAGAAUCUAUCUAUCUAUAUAUACAUGUAUUCUAACCUACAUUUUACCUAUGUGUAACCUCACAAACAUCCCCCUUUCUAACUAUUUCCUUACAUGCAUUCUCUCAUUAUAAGCAAGACUUUGCUUAUGUGUCACCUCACCAAUAAUUCUUAUUUCUUAUAUGAAUUUUAGUAUAUUAUAUGAAUGAAUGCAUUCUCCUAUGAAAGGGUUAUAAUAUUUAGUGUGACAUAAAUAUUUUUAAACAUGUAACUGCCACAAUCCUUCAAAACUAUGCAAUUUCUCAACAAAAAAAAACAUAUAUGCAACUGCUAAAUGCAGCCACGAGUUAUUGGCCAAAUGAAUUGUAAAUGAAUUGUGAUUCACUGAUUUGUGACUCCCAUGAAUUUAUUGUGGCAAUCUAUGUGCAAAUCCCAUUUACCAAAAAUCAUUUGCUAAUUUUUUAAUUAAUAAUUACCAAAACUUGAAUGAUUAUGGUGUAGUAAUGGUCAGUUACACAUCUUACUUAUUACCUUUAUUAUAAGCGGCUGACAAUUAUAUGGGUAACUCCUUUUUACCAAAAUUAUGUACCUUUAUUUCUUAUUGUAACUCCUUAUAGGUUACGGUUUUAAUAUAUCAUGCCACACAAAAGCAAUGGUCACAGUAAACAAGGUUCACAAUUUUUUUAUUUGUAUCACCAAGAAUGCAAUAUAAAUAUAAAUAAAUAAAUAAACAAAUUAGAAUUUAAUAGAAGUAAUGAAUAAUUUCGGCCAAAAUAUGUUCAUCCUUGGUUACAAUUUCAAUUUGUGCCUCUUCGCAUUCCUUCACAUAAAGCCUAAAAAUUUGUUACACUUUAAACCAUUUCAAUGACAGUAUUUCCCACACACCUAUAUAACCAGCAUUGGUGUCAUUCCUUUUCCACUCAUUCUGUCACAUCUAUCUGUGUAAUUUCAUUUCUUCCCACAUACUCUCUUUGCUUCCCUACCAUGUCUGCCAUUGAUGUCAUUGGAACCAAGUAAACCACUUUCUUGCACUUUUCCUCUACCAUGUUAAAUAAAACCUUUAAUCUAAUCUUUUUUCAUGUUCUUUACUUUUACAGGGUCGGAGAAGUCAACAACAAUGGUGUGCAUACCUUUCUCAACAAACUCUCCAAUGCUGCCCCUGAUACCAAGAUCAAAGUUAGGGUAGCACGCAUGUGGGACACGCUGAAUAUAACAAAAAAAAAGGAAAUAAUUAGUACAGAUAUGGUGCUAAUUGAUGAGAAGGUGUUUAUCAAUGAAAUUGCUAUAUUGUUGUUCCUUCGCAAAUAAUCUUUCUUUACUUACUAUUUACAAAUGCUUUCUAGGCAAAUUGCAUUCAUGCUACAAUACCAAGGAGGUUCUCACCUUCAUUGAAGAAAGUCUUGCAAGAAGGCAAGAUAUAUGUAAUUUCACACUUUGAGGUCUCAAAAAACAAGGAGAAAUAUGCUGUGGUUGAAAACAAUCCCUCCAUGCUUAGUUUCUAUGGUGACGCAAUUGUGACUGAGGAGGGCUCGGAUGACAACACAAUCCCUCGCUAUAUCUUUGAAUUUGUUAAUUUCAAUGAUCUUAUCAAACGUUGCGGGAAAGAGGUGUUGGCAGGUUGGUUUAGCAAAAUAUUAAAUUAUAUGUAAUACAAAUCUAUUACAUUGUGUAAAGAAUGUAACACUUUUGUUUCUCGACAGAUGUAAUUGGAUUUAUAAUUGAUGUGGAUCCAAUUGAGGAGAAAACAACCGUCAAUGGGAAAGUCGACAUGUUGUCACUUCAUUUGGGGGAUGGCAGGUGCAACAUAAUUUGUUCCCCAUGAUUUAAUUCUCAUUUAGUAGCGUAUAACACAUUUACCACAAAAAUCAAUUAACAAACUUUUUAAUCCUACGCAACUUUUGGCAGUGGGAAUGUCUUGAAGGUAACGCUAUGGGAUGACUAUGCUCCGAUGUUUAAUCAAAAACUGAUAGAUCAAAUGCAUGCUACUCCUAAGCCAAAUGUGGCAAUUUUUACCUCCACUUUGGUAAAACAAUACCAAGGUAACUGCUCAUACCAUGACAUUUAAUAUUCAACUUAAUUACCCUCUCCUCAACCACUCCAUAUGUGAUAUAUUUUUGUAGGUGAGCUUUAUGUUUCGUCUUCAAGAUCCACAACAAUUUAUAUCAACAUAGACACCCCUGAAGUUGCUGAUCUAAUUUUGUCGUCCAAGUGCGUCAUUUAACUCAUGUUUAAAUACUUAUGUUUAUAUUAUGUUGCCUAUUUUCUAAUUGUGUGUUGUUGCAUCGUUGUAGGGGGAAAAACAGUGUUUUGAAAACAACUGAAACUUUGUCUUUAACUAAUGUUGAUGUGAAGACCAUAUCUGAGCUUUUAUCCAUGGCAGUUUCGGGAGUUUAUCAGGUCAACACUUGGUUAAUUAUUCUCUAGACCUAUUUUUUAUUUCAUUAUCACAGUGUGUCAUACACUCAUACUUUCAACUUUACUUGCAGGGUGAUGUUGUCUACAAUUGUGUUGCAACAGUUGAUGACAUCCUGCUAAAAAAUGGGUUGUAUUAUGUUUCUUGCCCUCAUUGUAGGAAAACUGUGAGUUCCACUGAGACAGACUUCAAUUGUGAGCAUUGUACUAAAAAGGUCGACUAUCCAAAGAUUAGGUGAGUUCAUUUGAAGUAUUUUUUUUCCUUAUCACAUGGCCUUAAAUAUAUAUAUGUUGCUUGAAAUAAUUACAAUGAAUCUCUAUAGGUACCGUUUGGAACUUCAAGUCAACGACUCUACGGAAUCAACAAUAUUUGUGUUGUUUGCCGAAGUUGCUGAACAAUUGGCACAACUAAAGCUAGAUGACCUCACCCCGGAUUUAGAAAAUGUGUGUUACAUUAUAUCCUAAAUCUAAUAUGGUGUUUAUCGGUGUUUUUUUUUUAUUAUUGAAAAAAUAGAAUAAAAGUUGAUUGUUUUCUAAACUUACAUUCCAUUCCUUUUUGUUUGGAUAGCAGACUGGACGUGACUCUGAUCUGCCUAAACAGCUCCAGCAUAUCAUUGGUUCAAAGCAUAUUUUUCAAGUUAAGCUGAGCUCUUACUUUGAACGUCGUGGAGUACAAAGCUUCACUGCACAUAAGAUUCUGAAGCCAGUUGUUAAGGUGUUUAGUUAUAUCAUGUUUCCAUUCUUUUAUUCUUCACUGCUGGAAACCAUUAUAUACUAAAUUUUUGAUGUAAUUUAACAAAUAUCAGAUUGAGAAAGAAGACAACAUUGCCACUGCGUGUUCUUCCUCAAGUGGAUCUCUUACCAUUGAAAUACCAGAUUUGCCGAAGAAGAGGAGAAAAUUAAUGUAAGAUGUAUCAUUGUCUAAUGCAUUUAACCAUGUAUAUAUGUAAGCUAUAAAUGUGAGCUAAAAAAAACUUGCGGAUUUUUUCAGAUUGCACUCCAACAAAUCAGGUGAUAAGGACCAGAAUGAAGAUGUGGAAGAUUUAGAAGAUUGAGAAGUUGGCUGCUAAGGAUUUAAGAGGAUUUGCUUUUGAAGUUGUUUUUCAUGGUUUAGUUUAUGUUUCUCUAAUCAAUAGAGAUGUGGAUUUCAGUUUAUGUUUUUUUGAGGUUGUGUUUUUUUUUUUUUUGAGGACUUUGUCUUUUUUGUUUUUAACCUAGACUACAUUGUUGGUUUAUGUUUUUUGGAUGUUGUGUUUUUUUAAGAAUAUUUUCUUUGGAUCAAUGUUACUUUGACCUAAAUUAUAUUGUUGGUUUAUAAUGUUAUAUUGAGGGAUUUUGUUGUUUUUAAUGCUGACCUAUAUUUUGAAGACAAAGAUUAUGCAUCUAUAUGUUAAGGUGAAUGGUAAUCAUGUUUUCAUUCAUUUAUUGUUCACUUAAAAUAAUGAAAUACAUAAUUCUUAUGUGAUUUUACAAAUUUCAGAUUGAGAAAGAAUACAACAUUGACACUAUAUGUUCUUCCUCAAGUGGAUCUCUUGGCAUUAAAACGCCAGAUUUGCAGAAAUUAAUGUAAGAUGUAUCAUUGUCUAAUCAUUUAAGCGUGUAAAUAUGUAUGCUGAAACAACACUUGGAGAAUGAUAAAAAUUGCACUCUGGCAGCGAAUCAGGUGAUGAUGACAAGAUGGAAUAUUUAGAAGAUUGAUAGCUUGGCUGCUAGGGACAGAGGCAGAUGGAAUAUUUAGAAGAUUGAUAGCUUAGCUGCUAGGGAAGGAAGAAUGUUUGCUUUUGAAGUGCUUUGCAUUGUUUGGUUAAGGUUCCUCUAAUAAAGUUGUGGAUUCCAACUAUGUUGUAUUUUGAAAACUCAUGUUCCCAUGUCGAGGAUGUUAAAAAUAUUAUUUCCUUUUGAAGUGCUUAGCAUUGUUUAGAAAACUAAUUGUAUUUAGUAUUUUAAGCUUUGCAUUGUUUGAAGUGCUUUUCAAACUAAUUGCAUUUUUAAUAUUAAUUUAUAACAAGAGGAACAUGAGAACUGUUUUUUAUGAUAUAGUCUUUUCAAUUAUUUUUCUUUGGCCUAAAUUACAUUAUUGGUUAAUGUUUAUUUACAAGUUUGUUGGUUUAUCUGUUUUUCAUCAUAAAUUUACUGAAUCUAAUGCCAUAAUAAUUACACAAGUUGUAUUGAGACAUAUCAAAUUAACAAUGACACAAAUAUAGAUAGAUAGGUUCUUCCUCAAAAAAAAAAAAAAAAAAAAAAGGAUAAAUAAGUUUUUUACAUGGGCCAACCAAAAUAAAAUAAAAUACUAACUUAAAUAUUAACAAAAAGUGCUAAUCUUUAUUAAGAUCCUAUUAUAUUCUUUAUACGUAACUAUAAAUUACUACCACGUUAAUACCCAAAAAAAAAAAUAUUAUUACCUUUUGCCAAAUAACUAAUAAAAUACAAAUACUCCAUCAAUGUUAUUUGAGCUCAAUUCCAGUUGUGAGUUCUUACAUUAACAUGUGAUAGACAAAGGGUGUGUUAGUUAUUAUCCUUAUAUUAUUAUAUACUAUACUAUUUUUUUAGACCAUUUAAUUAUGGUUGAUGUACCACAUAUUGAAAGAUUUAUAAUUAAAAUUUACAUUUCAAAAAAUCAAAGAAUAUAAAACAUAGUGAAAUGUAAUUAUACUUUCCUCAACUUAGGCAUAAUAUUGAUAUAUAAAUAAGUAACUAAUAUUUACAAGUUUUUUUCCAAUGACGUUAUAUUUAUAUCUAAAAGCAUGAAAUAAUAUAAACAUGUUCAAUUUUAUAAUAAUAAUGAUAAUAAAAUAUUAUUGUUCUUUUUGUUGAAAUCAAAUUAGUUCUACAUUAGCACACAAAAAAGGAACAUAGACAUACUAAUGAAAGAUAAAAAAGAAAAAUUGUCCUUUGAGUAGAAGUAGCACACCUAUUUCAGCACAAAAAAAUAAAAAUAUACAGCUACCUAGACAUACUAAUGAUCAUCGUAUUAAUUACUUAUUAUUAUUAUUAUUAUUGUUAUUAUUAUUAUUGUUGUUGUUGAUGUAUCCAUUAAUUUUUGUAACAUAUCAUAUUAUUAGAUAUCAAUUUUUCAUCUGCAUAACAUAAAAAAUCAUAAAUGUUGCAUAAAUAAUAAAUGCGUACAUGUAUUCUAAGCUACAUUUUCCUUACAUGUCACCUCACCAAAGCUCUCCCUUUGUAACCAAUCUCUCAUACUUAUGCCAUGUGGCUCUCUAUUUCAUUUUUUAGCUUUUUUCUUUCAUUAUUAUUAUUUUUUGGUAGAAUCAUUCAUCUAUUUACUACACAUUUAUUUGUAUAUAAUAUUGAUGUUGAUACAUAUUCAGAUAGUUCUUCUAUUAUGUAACUUCUAUUAUGUAACUGUCAAUUGUUCCACCGUCCAUCUUCUUUUAUUUUAUUCAGGUUUUUAAUUUAUUAGCUAAAACAAUAGGAUCAGAUGAACACAUAGUCGUAUUUCAACAUUCAGAGGUGCUAUUUCUAAAAAAGUUAUUUCAUUGAGCAGAGGUGCUAGGAUUAGAUCAUCGUUUUAUUUUUAUUGUUUUUUUUUUUUUCCCCGUCCAUCUUUUUUUUCUUCUAUUUUCUACAUGAUCUAUAUAUUUAUUGACUUCUUUAUCAUAUAAAUUGAUGUGGCUUUGUAACAUCAAAUUCUCAUACAAUAUCAGCAACUAAAACAUUCAUGUCACAGUUCCUUCUUUCGCUGCUUAUAUUGUUGGUUCCUACUCAUGCAAACAAUCAUGUCAAGAUUAUAUAAUAUUGUAGUUUAGCUUCAUGAUUACUUACAUGUUCAGCCAUGGUUGCCGCCUCUUACAUUCUCACAUCCAAUCAGAAUACUUUGCUUCUCUGUUCUCACAUCUAAACUGAACCGCUGACACCUGUGUUCUCUUUCUUCAACCUUCAUUCCUUUCUCGCGUCUCACCACCCCUGCGUUCAAUACGACAACCUCCGUUAUUUCUAUUUUCGUUGUAAAUAUAUGUUUUGUUUUUAUUCUUUAAUCAGUAAAGAAACAUGAAUCAAAGUUCAGGUAUAGUAUUUCAGACUUCUUUUGGAUUCUCAUAUAUCAAAUGAUCAACAUUUUUUACACACAUUAACAUCUAAACCAUCUCAUGUAUCUAUGCUAUGGUCUACAUAUGAAGUAAUUAAACUUACAAUUUUACAAAUAUUAAUUUCAUAAUAGUCAUGUCAUACAUAAUGCUUCUAUUCUUAUUUUUUUAUUGUUUAAUGUAUACCAUAAACCAGUAAAUGCUACAGAACAUGUUGAGGUAGCGACAUCGGAGAAACACAACAAAAGAAAGACAAAUACAAUGAAUAUCAACGACACAUCAGAGAGGCAUAACAAAAGAAAAAGAUAUGCGAUAAAUAUCAGUGACCCACUAGAACUCCAACAAAAAAAUGGUUAGUCGAAGCUAUUUGGUGGACUCAUUUUAUAUUUGUUACAUUAUCUAUGUUAUUAAAUUGUUAAUUUUUAUAUUUUUGCUUUUAAUCUGUUCCAUUUUAUAAUUCCCAAUAAUAAAAACAGAAUAUCAACACAAACAAAAACUUGCUGGGUUUCGACAAGCCAGGUUGAAUAGGAAGCAAAUGCUCAGUUUGAGGCGGAAUAAAGGAAACAUUGCUGCAUUUUUCGGUGAAAUAUAAAAUUUAGGACAUACACAUGGAUUAUUAUAGCUCAUGCUUUAUAAAAACUCACUAACGUUAUGGCCUAACGGCCAACUUAUUUUCAUUACUUAUGUUGUAUGCACUUACUCUUUGUCAGGAGACACUUACCAACAGUGUAACGUAGGCACAUCAACAACCCAAGACAUUAAUAGCAAUACUGAAAACGUUUGUGCCACGUUUGAGCUCCGACACACAAGUGGUUGGUUUUAUGCAUUUCAUUUAUCAAUUUAACAUUUAAACAACUUAAAAUAUUUUACUUUCAAUCUUCUUAUUUUUAAUUGGUUCCAUUUUAUUGUUCUUAAUGUUGUAAACAGAAGAACAAAAUAUACAACGGCUUGCAGGGUUUAAACAAGCCAGAUUAAAAAGGAGACAAAUCCUUGAUUCAAGGCGCCGUUGCCCCACUUUUGCAGCAUCCAUAGGUGAGAACAAAAUAAGAACUAAAUAAUUCAUGAGUCAUACAUACUAACUUUGUAACUGUUCUAACAUUUUCCAAUUCUCGGUACAUUCGAGGUGUCACAUCAACACCACAAAAUAUACAACGCCCUUGCGGGGUUUAAAUAAGCCAGAUUAAAAAGGAGGCAAAUCCUUGAUUUAAGGCGACAUAGACCCACCUUUGCAACAUCCAUAGGUAAAACCAAAAAUAAAACUAAAUAAUUCAGAGUCAUACAUAUUAACUUUGUAACUGUUUUAACAUUUUCAAAAUGUUGGUACAUUGGAGGUGUCACAUCAACAGCACAAGACAGUAAUAGGAAAAAUGAAAACGUUUGUAGCACUUUUGAACUACGACACACAAGUGGUGGGUCUUAUGCAUUUCAUUUAUCAAUUUAACAUUUAAACAACUUCAAAUAUUUCAUUUUAAACUUCUUAUUUUUAAUUGGUUUCAUUCUAUUAUUCUUAAUCUUAUAAGCAGAAGAACAAAAUAUACAACGAUGUGCGAGAUUUAAACUAGCCAGAUUCAAAAGGAGGCAAAUCCUUGAUUCAAGGCGACCUAGCCCCACAUUGGCAGCAACCAUAGGUGAAGAAAAAUAAAUAAAACUACAUAGUUUUUAAUUGUUCUAACAUUUUUCAAUUCUCGAUACAUUCAAUGUGUAUUUGGUGGAAUAUUUAUGAUAAAUUAUAUUUUUAAAUUAAUUUUCAUAUAUAGUUCAUGAUAGUUUAAAUUAUAUUUAAAUUAAAUCUUAGAAAAUUAAUUUAAAAUUUAUCAAAGACUUUAAUUUAAAUAAAUAAAAAUCUAACAUUUACUACUUCUAUUACAUCUGCUUACUCUUCGACAGGAAAUAAGACAUCCAAACCCAUAACAACACAUAAAAGGACAAAUACCAAAAGUAUUCACAGUACACAUCGAAUCCAACACAAAAGUGGUUAGUGUUAUCUCUUUGCAUGACCAAUUUAAUAGUAGCUUAUAAUAUUUAAAUACAAUAUUUAAAUGCACAAUGAAACCAUCAUAGCUGCAUUUAUUACCUUUUCUGACUCCCGGUGCUUAAGACUCUAAAAAACGACUAACGUGAACUGAUAAUAUUCGAUAUAUAUACUCUCAACAGGAAACAACAACCAACAAACUGGGUCAGUCGCAUCUAGAACACACGACAGAAGGAUGAAUCCAACAAAUGGUUAGUGUGGCUUAUUUCUUUAAACAACUUAGCAUUGCAAAAACCAAUAAUCUUUCACUUUAAAAUCUCAUUUGCAGACCAUGUCCAAACUUAUAUGGAUCUCGGCCAUCCAAAUUUUGAAUGCGAAAAAUGUGGAAGCACAAUGUGGUAUAAUGAGAGAGCUGAUAAACCACGUCGACCAAGGAACCCAACAUUCUCUCUUUGUUGCCUGAAAGGGGAUGUCUCCCUAGAGUUUUUAGAGCAACCACCAGACUACUUGAAGGAACUUUUAGCUUACAAAGGUGGCAGACACUCCGUUAAAUUUAGAGAAAAAAUACGGGCAUAUAAUUCUAUUUUUGCAUUCACAUCCAUGGGUGCUAAAAUAGACAACACAGUGAACUUACGUCCAGGCCCAUAUGUGUACAAAAUUAGUGGUCAAAACUAUCAUAGAAUUGGUGGACUCAUACCUGGCCAAGGAAAACAACCUAAAUUCUCCCAGCUUUAUGUCCAUGAUACGGAGAAUGAGAUCCAAAAUCGAUUGAGUUCGCUGAAUGGUGGGAAGACUGCACGAGACCUUGAUGCAGAUAUUGUCCGGCGCCUAAAGGAUAUGCUCGACAUGAAUAAUUCUGUAGCCAAAUUAUUUAGAAUGGCAAGGGAUAGAUUAUCUGCACCGGACAACAAAGAAGUUCGCAUAAGGUUGAUUGGCACAAGAUCAAAUGAUUCAAGACAAUAUACAACACCUACCGCAACAGAAAUUGCUGGUCUCAUUGUUGGAGAUUUUGGUGAAUCAAAUGGACGAAGAGAUAUAGUUAUUGAGCAUAAAACAGAUGGCCUGCAGAGAAUAAAAGAAUAUCAUCCAAAAUUCAUGGCAAUGCAAUAUCCUCUGUUAUUUCCAUAUGCUGAGGAUGGAUUUCACCUAGACAUUUAUUAUUCUCAAAAUCAUGCAAAAAGAAAGAAAAAGAAAAAAAGAAAAAAAGUUACCCUGAGAGAAUAUUAUGCUUACCGGAUACAACAGAGGCCCUGUGAAGCAAAUACUCUUAUUAUUGGUGGUCGACUGUUCCAACAAUACGUUGUUGAUGCAUUCACGGCAAUAGAAGAAGAGCGACUGCGCUGGGUUAGACAGAAUCAAACAGUGUUGCGUACGGAUCUGUACAGAAAUGUAUGUGAUGCAGUUGUGCGUGGAGAUACAAUAGCUGCUGCUACUGGGAAGAGAAUCGUUUUGCCAUCUUCUUUUACAGGUGGCCCUCGAUAUAUGGUUCAAAACUAUCAAGAUGCCAUGGCCAUAUGCAGGACAUUUGGAAAUCCUGAUAUCUUCAUGACAUUUACUGCUAAUCCAAAGUGGCCAGAGAUUCAAUACAUGCUUCAGAAAAUACCAGGUCAAUCUGUCGAUGAUAGACCGGACAUCAAGACAAGAGUUUUUAAAAUGAAACUUGACCAGCUAAUGAAACACAUAGUGGAGGGGCAAUAUUUUGGUAAAAUUAUAUCAGGUAAAAGUACAUGGAAUAAAUGUUCUCACAUUCUAAAAAAAAAAAAAAUUAAAGAUCAAUUUGAUUCAAAUUGUUUAUUCAAUCUAUAUGAUACAUACAUGUUAUACUAAUAAAGAUUUGUUUUUUUUCUCUCUUUUCAAAUUGACAGCCAUUUAUACCAUAGAGUUUCAAAAAAGAGGUCUGCCACAUGCACACAUACUAUUAUGGUUGCACCCAAGCAAUAAGUAUCCCACCCCGGAGGAUAUAGAUAAGAUUAUUACUGCAGAAAUGCCAUCUAAGGAAGAUGAUCCAGAAUGUUUUAAUGCGGUAAAACAGUUCAUGCUGCAUGGACCGUGUGGAGAUGCAAAUAUAAAUGCACCUUGCAUGAUUGAUGGUAUUUGUAGUCGAAAAUUUCCCAAAAGUUUUUUCGAUGAAACAACAAUAGAUAGAGAUGGGUUCCCGACGUAUAGAAGGAGGGACGAUGGAAGACAUGUGAAAAAAGGAGAUAUCAAUUUAGACAAUCGGUAUGUGGUUCCAUACAAUCGAGGUUUGUUGCUGGCAUUUCAAGCACAUCUAAAUGUUGAAUGGUGCAACAAGUCAAGGGCCAUAAAGUACCUAUUUAAAUAUCUUCACAAGGGCCCAGAUAGAGCAAUAAUGGUAAUAGAAGAUAAUGUUUUGGGCAACAGAAGCACAAAUGCAACUCAUAUAACAAUGGUUGAUGAGGUCAAAACAUUCUUGGAUUGUAGGUACGUCAAGGUAGUUAUAGGGAAUACUCUAAUAAUGAUCACAAUGAAUUUAUAACCAUUUCAUCUUUUAUGCAUUAUUCAUUGUAGGUAUGUAUCGGCAUGUGAAGCAUGUUGGAGGAUAUUCAAUUUUGACAUACACUACAGAAAUCCGGCUGUUAUGAGAUUGAGCUUUCAUUUGCCAGAAGAACACUCAAUCACUCUAAGAGAUUCAGAGCAAUUGUCAGACGUAAUUUCAAAGGAAGGAGUUGAACAUACUAUGUUUACAGAAUGGAUGCUAAUGAAUUCAAUGAGCUCGGAAGCACGUACAUUAACGUAUUCUGAGUUUCCCAAAAAAUUUGUUUGGGACGAGACAAAAAAAAAGUGGAAAAAACGGAAAGCUGGAAGAACAAUCGGAAGAAUUUAUUAUGCACAUCCAACUAGCGGGGAGAAAUAUUACCUCAGAAUUUUACUGAAUAUUGUUCAUGGUCCAACAAGCUAUGAAGAAAUAAAGACAGUGGGAGGGGUGACUUAUCAGACAUUCAAAGAAACAUGUAAUGCUCUUGGGCUAUUGAAUGAUAACAGAGAGUGGAAUGAUGCAUUGAAUGAAGCAUCACAGUGGGCCACAGGCACUCAAUUAAGAGAGUUAUUUGUUACCAUUUUGCUUUAUGGAGAAGUGGCAGAUAUAGGGAAACUAUGGGAAACUAAUUGGAAAACGUUGUCUGACGAUAUUGUCUACAAAAAGAGAAUAUUGUUUCAACACUCCAGAUUGGAGCUUAAUGAUGAACAGAUUCAAUCAUACUGCUUGAUUGAAAUUGACAAGAUUUUGGUUCGUGCUGGAAGUUACCUUUCUGAUUUUGAUGGAAUGCCGUUGCCAAAUAGUGAAUCCUUUGAAGCCACGGAAAACCGACUUAUUGUGGAAGAGCUUAGUUAUAAUGUUGAUGACCUGAAAAAAGAACACGAAAGAUGUCAUCCAUUGUUGAACGAACAGCAGAUUGAUAUAUAUAAUAAUGUUAUAAAUGCUGUCAACACUAAUAUUGGUGGACUCUACUUCGUGUAUGGCCAUGGAGGGACUGGCAAGACUUUUCUAUACAGAACAAUUAUUGCAAAACUCAGGUCAGAAAAAAAGAUAGUACUUGCUGUUGCUUCUUCAGGUAACCCAUCACUUUUUCAAUCCCUUAUAUAAAUUUACAUGUUGUCUAUUUGUACUUAUAAAUAUGUCAGUCCAUACACCCUUAUUUCUGCGCUUCAUUGCAAUAUUUAUUGUACAAAUUACUAUAUGUACCAAAUUAGCAACUAUUAUAUGCUAUAAUCUAUCUAAUAUUAUAUGCUUUUCUUCUACACAAAAUAUAAAAAAAAACAUACAAUUUUUAUUCAAAUAUAUAAAUAUAUAUAUAUAUAUAUAGAUAGAUAGACAUAGACACACACAUAUGCUUGCAUGCAUAAAUAUAUUUUCAAUUUUUUUUUUAAUUUCAUUCUUGACAGGUAUUGCAUCCCUCUUGCUUCCUGGAGGAAGGACCGCUCAUAGUAGAUUUAAAAUUCCUCUUGAGAUCUAUGAAGACAGCACAUGCUCAAUAAACCAAAAUACUCAUCUAGCUGAUCUAAUGGUUCAAACAGAUCUCAUAAUCUGGGAUGAAGCACCAAUGACUCAAAGAUAUGCUUUUGAAGCUCUUGAUAGGACACUUAAAGACAUAAUUGGUUUCAAAUUUCCGGAUAGGGCAGAGCAACCAUUUGGAGGAAUGACAGUUCUUCUUGGAGGAGAUUUUAGGCAAAUACUUCCUGUAAUACCAAAAGGUCGAAUACAUGAUAUAAUUCAAUCAUGCAUCAACAAGUCUUUUUUGUGGGACUACUGUACAAUAUUUUCAUUGUCCAAAAGCAUGAGGGUCAGAAAUACUACCUCUACAGGCAAAGAACAUGAUGUGAUACGUGAAUUCAAUAAAUGGCUACUUCAACUUGGUGAUGGAAACAUUCAAGCACAAAGCCGACGUGGUGAAGAUUUUGCAUCGUGGACGACGAUACCAGAUCAAUAUCUUAUCCCACCAAUGGGUGAUCCACUCAAACAAAUUGUGGAUAACACUUACCCAGAAUUAAAGAGCCAUCUGUGGGAUGAAGAAUAUUUCAGGGAAAGAGCAAUACUCACUCCUCUAAAUGAAACAGUUGAUGAAAUCAAUAAUUAUAUUGUUCAGUUUACUGAUGGAGAAACAAAACAAUACAGAAGCUCAGACGAGAUUGACAAGACAACUGACAACAUAUCAGAUCAAGAGCUCAUGUAUCCUGUGGAAUUUCUAAACUCCUUAAAUAUUAAUGGAUUUCCAAGACAUUGUUUGGAGCUUAAAGAAGGAAUGCCUAUUAUGUUAUUGAGGAAUAUCAAUCCGGCAUUAGGAAUGUGUAAUGGAACAAGACUUAUUAUUACGCAUCUAGGAGAGCGAGUAAUAGAGGCUAAAAUAAUUACAGGAUCUAACGUUGGUUCAAAGGUGCUAAUCCCCAGAAUUGUUCUUACUUCUAACGACUCUAAAUGGCCUUUUCUGUUGCGCAGGAGGCAGUUUCCAAUUAAGGUGUGCUAUGCAAUGACAAUAAACAAAAGUCAAGGCCAGUCAUUAAAUUAUGUGGGAUUAUAUUUGCCAAGACCUGUAUUUAGUCAUGGACAACUAUAUGUUGCCUUUUCAAGAGUCACUUCCCCAGAGGGACUGAAAAUUCUAAUUGUUGAGCGUGAUGAGAAUUAUGUACAAUACACGAAAAAUGUAGUGUACCAUGAGGUAUUUAGUGGUCUUCCUCAAUGUAAAUAUAUUUGAUGCACUGUUUUCAAAUCUAUCUAUCAUUCACAAUAACUUUAGCAACUACGUUAUUCAUUGUUAACUAACACACUUCGAUUUGUACCAUUGAUUUUUUACAAUAAUAACCGCGAAUCCCAAGUAAUCGGACUUUUUAUAACAGAAUUUAAACUUCAGAACCUUAAUAAAGUAAAAUCCUACAAACACAACAAUAACCAUUUGAAUCGUUUCAAUGGUGAAAAAACUUAUUAAUGGUUACAACCGUAAGUUUCUAUCUACACAUCAACUAAUAGCAUAAAUGGUUCCAAAUGAGCAGCCAAUGUUAAACCAAUAACUAAAAUUAUCAUAUCAAUUGAUCAAUGUACCUUAUACGAAGCAGCCCACUACUAAUUGGCAAACACUAUCGAUCCUUUAACUCACAUACCUAAAAAAAAAACAUUUUAUCAACAAUUACAAAACUGAACUGAGUUCAACAAAUUGAAACUAAAUCCAAAACAAAAUUUAAUAUAAGUAACAUGUGUACAACAAUAGUAGGAGGAUGAUUGUCGCCGAACUCGGUAACGAAUUCAACAGACAGCUCAACGGAAACUAACCCAGAGAUGAAGAACAAAAUAUUCAAAUGUUUACAUUUUAAUAGUUUCUACAUUUUAAUAUAACCAUUUUAAUAGUUUCAUUGGUGGAAAAACUUAUUAAUGGUCAAAACCACAAAAAAAAAAAAAAAAUAUCAAAUUUACGCAUAAAUGGUUCCAAAUGAACAACCAGUGUUGAAUCAAUGACUAAAAUUAUCAUAUCAUUUUAUCAAUGUACCGUCUAUGAUGUGUUCCACUGCUAAUUGCCAAACAACUUCCAUAGUUGAACUCACAUACCUAAAACAAAUAACACAAUUCAUCAACACUGACAAAAAUGAACAGAGUUCAACAAAUUAAGAAUACAUCGAGAACAAAAUUGAAAAUAACUAAAAAAAUGUGUAAAACAAUAUCCCGAUCUCACUACCGGAUUCAAGUUGGGCCUCAACCGAAAAAACCCACAAACAAGAACAAAAGAUAAAGAAGAAGACAACUGACAUCACCUUCUUCUCGGUGCUCAACGGUUCUGCGAUUGAACCGUCGUUCGUUCACUCGACAUCAACGAAGAACCAUCUCGGAUAAUAACACUGCUGGCAUCAGAAAUAGGCACAAAGUGUUAUCUGAGGAUUAUCUGCAGAAAGUUGCUUCUAUUGGUGUCAGAAAGAAGCGUUCGUCUCAUCAACAUCAUUCUUUUGGAACGAGUAGUGAUAAAAAGGAACGAUCCAACGAUGUCUUGAAAGUGGUCAAAAUAAUACGUAGAGAUAAGAACCAUAACCUGUCAAAGGAAAAUUUGCUGCAUCAACAGAAAACGAAUAAUAGGUUGCGAAUUGUUGUCCAUGGAGGAGAUGGAUUGUUUGAAACAUAUAGGCUUUCGAAAUCUCAAUUUGAUGGGGAGGAUGUAACUUUCAACUCAAGAAUUUCUGUAACGAUUAUCAAGAAUAUAGGCUUAAGAAGAAUUGCUUUUUUUGAAACAUAUAGGCUUUCGAAGAAUUGCUUUGCCUUUCCAAAUUAUCGAGGAUUGCCGUGUUCAUCUUGGUUGAAAGGAGUUUAAAAAAUUCACGUUUUUAGGGAUUCAGUUGUGUUCUCUUUUCUUUCAAAAUCACUUUUAUGUUUAAAUAUAAAAAAAUUCCUUUUUAUUUUAUAUUGUUCGUAACUUUUCCUUCUUUUUUUUAAACAAAAAAAUUAAAAAUCUUACUCUUUAAUUUUGAUUAGAUAUGUUAUUAAUAACUUUUUAUUUUUUAUUCAAUCAACUACUACUUCAGUAUGAAAUUAUAACACUUUUUGAUAAAAACAAAAAAAAAAAAAAAAAACCCUUUUCAUAUUUUCGACUAACAAAAAUGCAUCCAAGUUUUUACCCUUUUUUUUUUGUGAUAGUCCAAGUUUUUACCUUAAAAAUAUGGACCUACAAACCAUUAAUUUUAUUUUUUUGAUCAGUAAACAUCUGAUUUUUUGGAACUGAAGAACUUUAAUUGCGGUCAAAUAUAAUCUUUAAUGAUGGAAUCAAUUUUUUUAUUAAAGAACUCAAUUUUUAAUAUACUUGAUAUCAUUGUAUCAUUUACUUUAAAUAUUUGCUAAAAUAAUGUUAUUUUAAAAAUAUAAAAUGUCCAACAUUUUUUUUAUAUAACUAAAUAAUGAUCUGAUGCAUCAACUAAAACAAUUUAAUCAAACCCGUGCAACGCACGGGUUGUAUCCCUAGUUAAUUAAAUGAAUUCAAAACCCAGAAAAGGAAAGAAAAAGGGAAAGAAGAAGAAAAGGAAAGAAAAAGAAAUGAAAACUGUUAAGUUAAUGAAGAAAAUUAACGAAAAGGAAAGAAGAAGAAAAAUGGGAAAGAACGAGAAUGAGGGGAAGAGGAAAAAAAGAAAGAAAAAGAAAAGGAAGAAAUGAGGAGAAAGAAGAAAUUUUUUUGGGUUGGUAUGAAAAAUGGAGGAAAAAUUAUGUUGAAGAUGAUUAAGAGGAGGAUGAAGAAUGGAGGAAAAAUUAGUUAAUAAAUGGUACACUAUAAGAUAGAAUAGACAUGCACAAUCCAACGAUCCUCUUUUUAACUAAAAUAUCAAAUGGUUAAAAUUAAAAAACUUAGUAAGGUCUAUGGUGGACCACCUAUAAUGUUGGUUCACCUUAGACAUUUAGUGUUAAAAACAGACGGAAGUGUCCAAAAUGGUAAACGACAGAAGAGUUAUGGGACCAAAUUGAGACACUUUAUAGUUAAAGGAUCAAAAUAAAAAUAAAAAAUAAGUUAAGGGACCAAAUCAUGUAUUAAACCAAAAAAAAAAUGUAGGCUGUGUCGAGUGAAUGGAAAAAGAGCAGCUGCAAAGAGAGUGAUUGGUUGUAAAGGGGGAGAGAAAAAGCAUAAUCCAGUGGUUUGUCACUAAAGAUAUCAUGUACCCUUUUUUUAUCUAACGGUCAAUUUAAACGGUACACCGGUGAGGGACUUAAUAGAGCCCUCACCCUAGAAUCAAUUAUAAAUAAUAACUUAGUUUUGAUUCUUUUUACUUUCUUUUCUAUUAAUUCAUUCAUCCACUAAAACACAGAGACAUUGUCUCAGAUUUGCAAGAAUCUUGAAUGGAUUGUGUGUACGUUGGCAGGGAUAGUAGCAUUUAUCACAUGAAAUUGUCUUUACAGUUUGUUUGGAUUUACGAGUGAAGAAGUUUUCUCUUUAAUUCCAACCGGAAGUGGUGACCGGAAACUCAUCCAAGGUGGCGUGCGGUGGCUCGCCGGUGUAGGAAGAAAGGCAUACAGGCUAAAGUUUUAACUCAAAUUGAAGGUUGAAAAACAUACUUCUGGAAGAAAAAACAUACUCCGUCCCAAACAUGUUUAAGUUUUAAUUGUUCUGAAGAAAAAAAAAACGAUAUUGGGAUGGCAGGUUUGAUGUUGGUGGUGGUGGGUUAGUGAGGCAUGAAGAAGAAAUAAUAGUGUUGAAGAUGGUGUAGAAGAAUAAUAUGGUGCUGAGAGACUAUGAUAAAUGUGUAUACUUUAUUUGAUCAAAUAACUUUUCCAUGGUGGAAAAGUUUUACCCUUUCCCAUGUUAAAUGCCACACGAGGACAAGUGUACAAUGGCAAUCUAUUUUACUACACUCUUUUUUUCUGCACAAGGACAAAUUGUGACGUUUGAUGUUCAGCUUCAUAUAAAUAUGAAAGGAGUUUGUCGAACAUUUAUCAUGCCUAAAUAUCCAAAUAUGCACCUACGAUUGACAUAAACCAAACCCAAGACUACCAACCAAGAUUAACCUAAACAAAACGACGUGGUUUCUUAACUCUACCAGUAGUGGGUGCAGACUUACGUGCAGCCUAAAGGAACCGAAAAAACCAAAAAAAUUAACCAAAUAUAUUCAAUCACCAUAAUGCAAAUAACAUUCAAUGAUUAUGAAUAUGAUGGAUUCAAAAACUCACCUUGGUUGCAAGUUGCUUCCUAGGUGCCUUUCCACCAGUAGCUAAGCGAACAUGAGCGAGAGUUAGUGCUCCACAAAUUGUUUAAAUUAUGCUUUUGGAUUUGUUUAAAAUUAUCCUCUAGUUGGAUUUUUUUUUUUGGCUAUGUAAUAUUUAAGAACAUGGAAUGCCAAAGGAAUUUGAUUAUAGUUCAAUUGGUGACGAUCAAAAGUUGUGAAAGUUCAUAUUCUUCGGUCAUUGAUAAACAAUUUGUUGGACAAUAUUCAAUACAGUUACCACAAAAAAUACAAAUUUCGAAAUCAAUACUGUAAUUUAGCAACUGUUUCUUUCGAAUAUCAAUUUAGCAAUUGUUUCUUUUGAACACAUACUUCACAAGCAAUGCAUUUAUCAAAUUCAAAAUGGAUUCAACCGCGGAAACGUUCCGAUGUGAUUAAUUUUUCAUAAGGAUAUUGAAAAGUUACAGGUAAACGAUUUGCGUGAGAUAAGAUAAUCAUGAAACUUUGAUCAAUGUACCUUGCAGCUCAGACUGUUUGUUGACCAUAAUUCAUGAUUUAUGACUUGUUAAUUGUAACACCCCGUUACCCAAAGCAAUAAAAUAGCAUAUAAACAUCAGAGUAAUUCCACAAACGGGCAUGCUACAUUGCAAAUUCAAAAUUCUUAAAUAGAAAAUAAAACUAUUUAGUUCAACAUCAUUCAUAACUUCAAUAAUUAUGCAGCGGAAAGUUUUGCAUUUCAAUAACAACCACAACAAUUUAAAUCUCCAACAAUAUCCUGACAUUAAGCCUAAACAACAAAAGUCAAACAACAAAGGGCCCCAUCGUUAAGUUCCAAAAAUUGAUACAUAGGAGGAAAACAACAAUAAAAUAAUAUAAAUGCUCCCAUCCCACGUAUCAAAGCCCUAGACACGACAAUGAGCCACCACCAACUACUCAGGAUCACCUGCAAGUUACCCAUAGGAAGGGCAACGUUUUCAAGCAGAAGGGGUGAGAUUCACAACAAUAAAUAUAGAUUUUAAAAAUCAUCAAAUGAAUCUAACACCCUAAUCAACAACACAUUAUCUUGUAAACAUAUAUUUGUAUAAGUCACAAGCAACAACAACAUCAACAAUACACCAUAAUUACGGUGAAUAUAAAUAUAUAUAACACAUAUUCAACACCAACAUCAUCUAUCAAAUAACAACUGAAACCAACAACCAAAACUCAUGCAAAUGACAUGACCACUGCUAAAACACCAUCUUAGACUUCUUAAUGAAAUGCAAUUAUGCAUGUGGUACCAAUCAGGACCGGAGCCCUCACCGCUUUUGAAUGGUUAAAGCAUUCAUCAGGACCGAAGCCCUCACCGCUGUUGAGCAACUAGUACUCCAGGACCGAAGCCCUCACCGCUGUUUUAUGCAUAUGCAAUGGACCUACUUGUGUAUAUCUACAUACAACUGACCAUGCAAUGCAACUCCAUGUGACUCCAAUUAAUACAACAUGUAUGAUUAAUAAUUAAAACAUACAAUGCAUUCCUCAUCAUCAAUCAACAUCCAACAGAGAUUCAACCAUUCAGAAUGAUGUAUAAUUAAAUAAAAUUAUGCUUAAACAACAACACUUAAACCUUAUCAAUCAAGCAAGCAAAACUGCACUCAAAACUGCACUAGCUCGCCUCGCGAGCACAUCUGCUCGCCAUGGCGAGUUCACAAAACACUAGCUCGCCAUGGCGAGUUCAAGGCGAACUCGAGGCGAGUGAAAAUCAGGUACUCUCGGGAAAAAGUGACAUUUCCUCACUCAAACUCCAAUUCUAAGCUCCCUAUUCAUCUUUCUAACCUAAAACUUCCACCAUUCAUCAUUAAAAUCAUCUAGGUACCUUAAACCAUCCCCAAAACAUCUUAUAACAACUUUUCAAAAAUCAGGUUUUAAUCUGGGCUACUCGCCAUGGCGAGUUGGAUUGCUCGCGAGGCGAGCUAUGAAGUUGCUCACUCGCCAUGGCGAGCACAGCUACUCGCGAGGCGAGCGAUGAACUUCUGUACGGGCAGAAAACUGGUUUUACCCAAAAAUCCCAUUUUUCUUCCAAUCACUCCCCAAAUCAGUUUACAGAUGCAAAUUAACUUUCUGUAUGCACUUAGAACCUAUUUCUAACAUCAAAUUCAUGCUUACAACUUCAAAACUACAAUUUCAUCAUAAAACCCAAAAUCCCCAAUUUCUACCAAAACCUGUUAAACUCAAAAUCAGACUUUAAAUUCUACACCAUUGAAGUAAACCCCACCCUUACCUUAAUUCAGAAUGAAAAAUGCACCGCAAAAAGGGUUCCUCUGGUUCUUCUCUCUUGCUCCUGGUUUUCUCUUCCUUGGCUUGGUUUCACGUAAAACUGUUUCUGACUCCCACUUUCUAUUUUCUUAACUUCCCACUUAAGAGUAACUCCCUCCUAAUUACACUUAACUCCCCCAAAUUCCUAAUAACUCCAAUUAAUUCCCCAAACACCAAAAUAAUUAAUAUUUCAUACUUAUUUUAAUUAUUAUUAAAUAAACCAUAUAAUAAAAUAAUAUACCAUAUAAAUCACCCAAAAUCAUACAUAUAAAUAUAAGCAUAUGCAUAUACUCCACAUAAAUCACCAAACCAUCAUAUAUAAAUAUAUAUAUACUCCACAUAGUUUAAAAUUAAUUAAAUAAAUAAUUAGGGCGUUACAUUAAUGCCCCAUAGUUGAGUUGCUUUUUUGCAUAUAUAAAUACUUCUGCACUUGUAGUUUAAUGACUUAUUAUGCGUUAUUUGAUGGUAUUUUUAAGAAUCAAUCCGCGUCUCUUUACUUUUUUACUUUGUUCUGCACAUAACAAAUUCAAGGACUUAUUUGAUGAUAUUUUUAUAUAAUGUAGGGAUCGAAUUGAAAUAGACAAAUAAUUUAAUGACAAACUUGAUGAAAAUAUUUUGACAGAAAUGUUGCUUUGAUUCAUCUUCAACCUCUUUUCAUAACAACAUUACACACGCCUAGUAUAAUACAGUAACAUGUUAAACUUAAGCUCAUACUUAAUACUUAAUCAACCUAAGCUCAAAUUCUGGGACACCAACAAUCAAGUACUCUCGCAUCACCAUUAAACAUAGAGCUUGAGGAUGAAUACCGACUUUGAUAACUAUUUUUGCUCAUAUGCUUACCACCCAUCAUUUCAGAUUCAACCUGAACACCAAAGUGAGAUUUUUUUUUGAGGAUUUUUGAAUUUCGAAUUCAAUAAAAAAAAAAUAAAGUUUUGGAGUUUUUGGAAUUGGGGAAGAACAUUGUCAUCAAUUAACAGAAGAAAUUUUGGGGAUUUUGAACUCUAGAUGACAAAUUAUAAAUUAGGGUUCUAAUUUUAUAGAUUUGAGGAAGAAAGAGCUAUAGUAUAACAGUCAUUCUUCUGCAAAUUAUGGAAUCCAAUUUUCUGCAAAUCAAUCAAUUUGGUCAUUGGAAAUUUUGUCACUUUCGGCCAAAUUAAUCCUUGCUUGUGUGACAUCUGACAUGACAAGCCUUGUGAGAGGUUAACAGAACACGUCAUCACCGUUAAUAUCCCAACUUAACGGAGAGACUAAUUUGAUUGACAUUUGACAACUUCAGAAACUAAUGUGAUAUUUCGACAAAUUGAAAGACGAAUUUGGAUAUUUACUUGAAACAAAACACAAGGAUUUGUCAAAUUUUACCAACCUUUUGACCUUUAUACUUUCAACCAUUUGAACCGUACUGUCCAUUCCAAAACUACCAACCAAGAGAACCAUACAAUCAUUAUCAAGACUCAACCAUUUAAACAAUAUUCCGCUUGUGUAACUUUGAGUUUUGUGAUUUUGUGACCUCUUAAUCUCUUAUCUAUCUCCUUACUAAUAAUUCUCUGUCACCAAAAUAAUUUAUUAAUCACUAAAAAAAAUCAUACCAUUGUUCUUUGUGUGUGUUAACCUUCCCAUUCUUAGAGGAAAGGUUAAUCCAAAGUAAAGUCAAACAAAAAUUGUUUCAUUCAAAAAUAGAACAGUACCAUCUUUUUCAAGAUUACCAUGAAUGUGUUGGAAAAAAAAACACACACACAAGUGGUUUGUAUUGCGUUGAUUGCGCAUUUAUUUGAACCACAAUUACUCGCACAACUCAUUAGAGAAGAAAUGAAGAAUACACGGUUACAGGAAAAAGUUGUAAUCAAUGCACUCAUGUAAAAAUUCGACGAAGUUUUUAUCAACCACAUUCCUCUUACUCUUAGGCUACCCAUUACGAAGCAAGAACCUUAGAUUCAAAAGUCCUCAGGCCAGGAUACUAUUGACAGACUAUACAAGCAGAUAUCAAAACAAUUUUAUGAUUUUAUAAUAUAUAUCAAAGGUUCCUUCAAAAAAAUAUAUAUAUAUCAAAGGCGUAACAUCAUCCUUAAGUCAUGAGACAAGUUAUAAGACUUACACUAUAUCUCAACCGUUAAACAUAAUAUAUCUAAGGGAUCAUAACAUUCCACCAGUCAAAUUAAAAAAAAUCCUUAGGUAAGGCACCACAUGUGAUUUCGUCUUCUUUCUCUUCAAGAUCCCACGGUGCCCCUGGAGAGUUUGUUUCAUGUUCUUUUUUAUUGAGUUGCAAUGCAAUCAAUAGUCCAACCAAAUAAUGGGUUGAUUGUUGAGCUGAGUGGAAAAGUUCCUACAAAAUGAGUUGCAACAAGGAUCAACAAGGUGCUCACAAAAUUACACCACGAUUGUUUAACUAUGUUUUUGAAAAUUGAAGGUUUGACAAAUUUAUAGAAAUUACAGAAACCUAAAUCAUGAAAAGAAAGGGAAAACAAAAAAUAAAGAUCUCAUGUAAGAAAGUCUUGUGAUCUUCUCAAUUUAUUAAUCUUGUUUUCUGAAGUCUCUAAUACCACAUUACCAUACUUUUUGACCACACCACAAGUUAACGUUGGCAAAGAUGGAAGAAAAUUGGGACAUUGCGAUGGUGGUUGGUGCUGUAGGUUUACAUGCAUCAAUAACAAAAGUCCUAUAGCACACCACGUUAACAUACUUAUUGAUUAAAUCUAACAAAACAACAUCCAAAUAAUUACAAUCCACCGAGUUGAAACCCUUUUCAAAAUCAACUUUGAAUAUAAUUAAUUCCUUUUUCAACUUGCGGGUUUCAUCCACUAACUCAUUACCCAUUAAAAUACCAUUGGUAAUUUGGCAACCAUGAACAAAGGUUGAUUGCUCCUCAAAAAUUACAAUUUCUAUUACCGUUCGUAAUUGAUUAACGAAGACUUUAGCCAACACUUUAUACAAACAUUCAUAAGGGAUACAAGGGUGAUAGUCUUUGAGGGCUAUCCCCCAUAGGAACAAAGGAGAUAAAAAUGUUGGUGAUACCUUUCACCAACUUAUCAUUUCAAUGAAACUUUUAAAUGAAGCGCAUAAAAUUGAUUUCAAAAUCUUCCCUAAACUCUUUGAUAAAACAAAAAUUAACACCAUCGGAGCUGAAUUUUUGUAAUUAUCGCAAUGCCAAAUGACUUGUUUCGCCUCCUCAAGAUUGAAAGGUUUUAAAAGAUAAACUCCUUGCACCAAACUCAAAGAUUUGAAAGUAAAAUUUUCUACCACUUUAUGACCAUUACCAUUUAUAGAGUGAAUAGCAUUAGACCGACGUCUAGAAGAUGAAACUCCAUGAAAUAAUUUGUUAUUAGCAUCCCCCUCUCCAAAUCAGCAUAUUCUUGAUUUCUCUCAAUGCAUGCUAGAAUUUAUUCUUGCCAAAGAGUGUAAAUUUUGUAGAUAAAUAAUGAAGCUCCUCUUAUGCGCUAAAUUCAUCUUUUAAAUCCAGAGAUGAAAUGCGUUCUUUUUUUUUGACGGAGAUGAAAUGCGUUCUUAAACAUAAAGAAUUAUGGUUUUCAAAUUUCGAGUAUGAUGUUAAUGUCAGGAUUUUAGUCUGCCUUUAAUCAACUUAAAUUUUUCUUUUAACACAAAACCUCCGCACGUAUCAUAACUUAUAAUACUUACUUAAAUAUUUUUUUUUGAAAUCUUUUUAAAAAUAUUUACUCAUAGUCGAACUCGUUGAUCCGACUUAUAUUCAAUCAUAGUCGAGUCGGGUUGCUUUGGAUUUGACAUAAAAAAAAAAAUUAUCAUUUCAUUUUUAGACAUCAUUUGUUUUUUAAAAAAAAAUGAUAUUCGUCUAUUCAAAUUGAUGAAAUCAUAUUCAUUACAACUCCCAAUGUAACUUUUGAACUAUCAAUUUUAUUCACUUUAGCCAUGGAUUUUUAUUUAUUGUGUUAAUCCUCUAGUUCUAAGGAAAAAAGAUCCUUGAUAAUUAGAAUAAAAUUUGAUCAAGAAUUGUUUCACCAGGAAUCAAACUCAGGCUCUCCUUAACAAUUUAUCUUUUGAUUGAGCUUAUUAACCACUUGAAUCAAAUUGCUUGAGUUUUAUUAUAGAUGCCUUCUUCCACGUUUUAUUACUUUAAAAAAAAUCAUAUUCUAAAUUUUGCUUGAUUUUACUCAGAUUUAGUUCUACAUGCUAACAUAAUUUUAGUAUACUAAUAUUUUUGUUGUAUAUUUGAAUUUUUGCCUCGCCAAAUUAAAUAUAACAUGCAUAAUUUUAGGUGUAUAUUUUUGUUGUGUAUUUUUUUUAAGUGUGAACUAAAAAGUGUAUAUUUUUAAAAAUAUAUAAAAGUUUUAAUUGAUCUGGUCGGCCCGAAAAAACUCGUAUCCCUCAAAGGGCUGAGAUUAAUUAAACAUUUUUUAGCCCGUUUAUCAUCCGAACCUUUUUGGUCGAACUUGAAAAGUCUGAACUUGACAUGGAUUUUGGUCCGAAUAGUCGGUUAACAUAUUUUGACGGCGCUAGAAUUCAUAGAUCACAUCUCGCCAAUGAGGUGUCUGCACUUAAGUUAAGGCGGUUGUAUUUUUUACUGAAUUUUUUGUUUAUUCAUACCAAUUGUAUCAAAAUUCUUAUUAUAUUUUUUUACCUAAUUUCGUUUAUUCAUACCAAUUGUAUUGAAAAAAUUAUCAUUAAUGAAAUGAAUUAAGUUUGUUGCUUAAAAAAACAUUUUCUAUCAAAAAAAUAGGUAUAAAUUGGCUGAGUGAGAAUGGAUAAUUAAAAAAUAAGUUUAUUGAGAAAAAAAUAAUAUAUACUUGCCAAAAAUAAAAAAUUAGUGAGAAAAAAUAUCUAAAGGAAUAUUCCAAGCAUGGGCCAACGGCGCACAAAAAACAAUGUCGGUGGACUCCACACAUCAGACUCAAUCAGUAUAUGAUUCCACGUAGCCCUAGUUUUAACCCAAUCCAUAACCCUAGUUAACAAUUCCUCUCCUAUAUAAACACCCCUCUGCGUUCACUGUGAAAAUAUCUUCCUUCAUCUUUUCCCCUAAUUCCUUCUCUGUCCCCAAUUCGAUUCGAUGGGUUCUUCUGAUGUUGAGUACCGUUGCUUCGUCGGAGGUCUUGCAUGGGCCACCGAUAGCCAAGCUCUCGAGCAAGCUUUCUCUAAGUUUGGUGAAAUCACUGAUUCCAAGGUCCGUGCGGAUUCUGAUUCGGAUUCGGAUUUCGAUUCUGAUCUGUGAUCUGUUCUGUUACUCUGUUACUUGAUCUGUUUGUUACUACUGAUUCUGUUACUGUGAUUGUGAUUCUGUUACUAUAUCAUUUGAUUCGAUUCUUUUGUUACUCAUACCAAUAGGUACGUUCAUCUUCAUCUUUUAACAAAAGGAGAAGAUCGAUCGGUUACUAUUCGGUUUUUUUGAUUUAUGAAUCUGUUUUGAUUGUUGAAUGUUGAUUUGUCAUGGAUCUGAAUUUUUGUUGUUUUUGUUUUGUUUAGGUGAUUAACGAUCGUGAAACUGGACGAUCAAGAGGUUUUGGUUUUGUGACAUUCGCUGAGGAGAAAUCGAUGAGAGAUGCAAUUGAGGAGAUGAACGGUCAGGAUAUUGACGGCAGGAAUAUUACUGUGAAUGAAGCUCAGUCCCGUGGUAGUGGUGGAGGAGGUAGAGGUGGUGGCGGCGGUGGUUAUGGUGGCGGCGGUGGUUAUGGAGGAGGCGGUGGUGGAUAUGGAGGAGGCGGUGGUCGUCGUGAUGGUGGAUACAGCAGAAGCGGUGGUGGUGGAGGCUAUGGGGGAGGAGGCGAUCGUGGAUAUGGUGGUGGAGGUGGUGGUGGUUAUGGUGGAGGUAGGGACCGUGGAUAUGGAGGUGGAGGUGGUGACCGUGGUUAUGGUGGUGGAGGUGGCGGUGAUCGCUACUCUCGUGGUGGUGGUGCUGAUAGCGGUGGAAACUGGAGGGAUUAGAAAAUUAGGUCUUCAGUUUGGUGGUUUAUGAUUAUGAAUGUUGUCAUGUUGAAUUAGUUU
rnacentral:lncRNA from 1 species